GACGUAGGGCGCGAGCGUUGUCCGGAUUUAUUGGGCGUAAAGAGCUCGUAGGCGGCUUGUCGCGUCGAAUGUGAAAACUCGGGGCUCAACCCCGCGCUUGCAUUCGAUACGGGCAGGCUCGAGUUCGGUAGGGGAGACUGGAAUUCCUGGUGUAGCGGUGAAAUGCGCAGAUAUCAGGAGGAACACCAAUGGCGAAGGCAGCUCGCUGGGACGGUACUGACGCUGAGACGCGAAAGCGUGGGGAGCAAACAGG
rnacentral:rRNA from 1 species